UGCCCGCCCCAGCGGGACGGCGGCGAGGGGGUUUGGGAGCCGGGCCGGGACACGCGAGGCGACGGGGAGCUCACCGCAAGGCUGGAGGCCCGGAGGCUGCGUCCCCAAGCGCGCUGGGAGCCGAGAGACGGAGAGCGAGCGCUCUGCAGCGGGCGGUGGACGCGCUGAAGGCACCAACCCUGGAGAAGCUUCUGCUGGUGCUUGGACAUGCGCCUGGACCUUGGAGGGCUCUGCUGCCUGGGUGAGGACCCUGUUCCCACCCUGGCUGGAAACAAGGGACCCCGGCCCCCCGCCGGACACGGGGACUCCGACGGCACAAGACACCCACGCCAUGUGAUCGAUAAACCAGAAGUCAGUCGGAAGUAUGUAUGGGCGGGGUGGGGGCCCCAGAAGAGGGGCUGAGCCCUGCUCUCCUGGAGGACACAGGCGUCGCCAUUGCACCAUCUAAUGUAGAGUCUGGACUAAGACACCUUUAAGCAACGUUCUUGGCAUCUCUCUCGGAGGCGACACCGGCCUGCGAGGGGACACCUGCUGGGCCCCUCACUGCAGGCCCUGAAGAGCGGACUCUGUCGCUGCGGGGCAGGUGCACGGACACGGCCCACGCCUCCGCCUCCAGAGCUCUCCGGGACCCUCUGGGGCAGCUCAGCCUGCGCUCCCAGCCCAAUACCUUAUCAGGGGAUGGGGCGGCCACCACCACAGAGCUUGCUCCCCCAGGCGUCCGAGG
rnacentral:lncRNA from 1 species